ACAAACGCUGGCGGCGUGCCUAAUACAUGCAAGUCGAACGGGGAAAGUAGCAAUACGAGUACUAGUGGCGCACGGGUGAGGAAUACAUGGGUAAUCUGCCCUCAAGUUUGGGAUAACCAGUCGAAAGAUUGGCUAAUACCGGAUAAGACCACAAGAUCUGCGGAUCAAGGGGUUAAAGUUUUUCGCUUGAGGAUGAGCCCAUGUGGGAUUAGCUAGUUGGUGAGGUAAUGGCUCACCAAGGCAACGAUCCCUAACUGGUCUUAGAGGAUGAUCAGUCACACUGGAACUGAGACACGGUCCAGACUCCUACGGGAGGCAGCAGUAGGGAAUAUUGCACAAUGGGGGAAACCCUGAUGCAGCGACGCCGCGUGAGUGAUGAAGGCCUUCGGGUCGUAAAGCUCUGUCGUAUGGGAAUAACAUAAUGAAUGUACCAUGCAAGAAAGGAUCGGCUAACUUCGU
rnacentral:rRNA from 1 species